AGGAUAGAGAAUCCUCCUCCCAAUCCUCUCAUCCAAGACCCUGAGCACGAAGGCAAUGUCUUUCUCCAGACAAUGCCCACGGUUUUGAGUCAGGCCUCCACGCCGACUACGACAACCGCACUCCGCUCCACAUCGACUUGCUCCACGGCUGGAUCCACGUUUCCGGUCACGUGCUAAUCCACGGCUGGAUCGACAUGCUACUCCUUCUUUUCAAGGUCUUAGGCUCUUCCUCCGUAAGCCCAAUUGAGGACGGCUCUACCAAAUCCCAACGCGAUCUCUAGAAAAGAUUGAAGUUUAUGUGGUGACUGGCCUCGAGAAUGCUCCGGCAAGAGUCGCACCAUUCACGGGAAAAUAAACUCUGAGCAUCCAACUUCCAAGUGGUAACAGUAGUAGUAGCAGCAGCAGCAUGGCCAAAAAGGAGACUGUCUGGAGUUUCGUCGCUUUUGAAAAUCCGACAUUGGGCGCUGAAGGAUCAUGGUUGUUGGAUGGCUGCAUCCAACUAAAAUUAACUUAUUUGUAAUGAUAUUUAACAGUGAUUAACUGUGGAUUUUAUUCUAAUGUAUGUAAACUUGUGUGAUUUGGAAUGUCUUAGUUGUCACAGCAGUGAUGAAUUGUGUGCUACAGUUUGGUUUUGCAGUGGGUUAUGUUAUUGAUAACAUUUCUAAAAUAUAUUUGCUUAUUUAAAA